AACGAACGCUGGCGGCGCGCCUAACACAUGCAAGUCUAACGAGAAACCUUGUAGCAAUACAGGGCGGUAAAGUGGCGAACGGGUGAGUAAUGCGUGGGUAACCUACCUUUAAGUUGGGGACUAACCCCGCGAAAGCGGGACUAAUACCGAAUAAGACCACAUUCCGGAAAGGGGAGGGGGUUAAAGGUGGCCUAUGAUCCCGCAAGGGUCAUGCUGCCGCUUGAAGGAGGGGCUCACCGUCCCAUCAGCUUGUUGGUAGGGAAUGGCCUACCAAGGCAAUGACGGGUAGCUGGUCUUAGAGGACGGCCAGCCACACUGGCACUGAGACACGGGCCAGACUCCGUACGGGAGGCAGCAGUGAGGAAUAUUGGGCAAGUGGGGGAAACCCUGACCCAGCGACGCCGCGUGAGGGAAGAAGG
rnacentral:rRNA from 1 species